UUUGCAAUUUAGAUGAUCAAAUAGUAUAGAUUUAUCAUUUCAUGAGCAACAUAAUACCGCCAGUACCUCAGUGUUGUGAUCUAACGAGUAUUUAAUAAUUGAAAUAAACUAUAUUUACGUUAUUGUGUUAUACUUGCUGUUUUGAGCAAUACGCUUGCUGUAAAUUUGAAUUCGGUAAACAAGUGACUUCAAGAUAUUCUAUUGUCCAUGCCCAAUCCCACCCAACUUGCCCCACCAGGGAUUUGCGAGUCUACGCCAGGGAACUGCGUUCAGUCCGAGAGUCCGGCAGUGAUCCAAAAUACCAAAAAGGUACACGCGGAAAUAUUCGUGACUGAAUAUAGAAUGUAACUUUUGGCGGCAUCUGAUAUCUGUAUGUCGCUGAUCUUCGUUGCUGCUUCGCUCCACGAUGGAUGUGGAUACGGGUGUCCUUGCUUGCUGGGUAGAUUGGUAUGAGUUCCACAAACUGCAAUGCGUUCAUACCAAUUUCCCACGCCAAUUGCUGACUUACGCUGUACCAGUCUGAGCAAUCUGCAGCACUCCAGAAGCACUCCUGGCAGUCCCCGUACCGCACAGGUGGUGCGUAGCAUAACGCCGAAUCGGUGGCUGCUGCCAGCAGGUGAGAACGAUUCAUGUGAACGACACGAUCACUCUACUGACGGUGAUAGAGACUACUUCCGGAGAUAGCUUUAAACUUGAACAACAGAACCAAACCAUAACCCUUACUUUGCACGAUGGCAUUUCAGCUGACAGUGUCCAUGCGGAUGGCGGAUGUGUAACGCCACAGCCAUCGGGCAGUGUUUAUACCGAGCGUUAAUGCUGUCGAACGAUAUGGCCGUUAUACCCGUGUUGAUAAUACACAAGAUUAAGUGAUAGGAAAAUCACACGCCGCGUAGGGCGUACCGGUCAUUGGACAUUGACAUUGUUAUGAAUCCUAUUCCUCUUGGUACAGGUGAAUGAAUAUACGUCGCUG